UGUUGUUUGUACUUUUAUGGAGCCCGAGUGAGAGAGACAUCUUAAGACAAUACACCAGACAUACUUAGGCGCUCUUGUUAAGAUGUGCUUUCCUAUUUCAUGCUUCAUGUGCCUGUGUUGGAAAAAUUAUUCCUCUGACUUCACUGUAUAUGAAAGAGCUUACUCUUUUGUUGUUGUUUUAGAAAGCAGGAUUCAGAAACACUUCUCUCAGUUGGAUUAAAUAGUCGUUAGCUUUUCAAGAAUAUAUCUGAAUUGAUUUCUAAAGCAUACACUAUUUUCUACACAUACAUAGCAAGGAAUUUUUUUUUCAUAUUUCUCUGCAAUCAGAGAAAAUUUGCUCAGUUUUGUUUUGUUUUCAUUUUUCAGACUGGUAAAAGUGAGAAGUUUAAUUUUUUCUAAAAUAAGUUUUAAACACCAUUAGGGGCAAUUUCUUCCAUCACAUGAUUAUAAUGUUUGAUGCUUUCCUCCCUUACAGCAGCUUCUCUGAGAUACCUGUAAUUUGUAAUCAACUUAACGUUAAUGAGGUAUCCUCAGGAUAGCUAGAAUAUUACAUUUUUGUGUUUACAUAGAUCUUGCAUUUUCAUAAUCACAUCCUGCUCUUAUUGUGUUUUUCGGCUUUGCAUAGCUCUAAGGGAGAAUUAGUGGGUGAACACCACUGUUUUCACGCUCACAACGUAGUGGAGGCUGUCAGAACUCGUGAGUGCUGGCUGUUGCUCUUACAGCCUGUGAGGUUCGGUGCUGUUGGGCAGCCCUCUCCCACAUUGGCCAGGCUGUCCGCCUUUGCUCCUCAGGGUGCUCAGAGGUAAGAGGCCACACCCACUACGUCCUCCACAUGAAAUGCAUGAGCUAAGACCACAGAACCCUAGGCUUCAUCUGAUGUAGCCUGCUGUGUUAAAGAUGAAAUGGGAUUUGCAUCAUAAACCCUAACAGAAAUAUUUUUGACUGUUCUGUAAAUUGAUCUAAAAGCUUUAGUUUGGAGGGAUUUCUACAAUUCAAAGGAAAGAGACAGCACGUUAGGUCAGCAUUUCCCACAGUGUGUUCAGAGAAACCUUGGUUUCUUAGGAUAUGAGUAAAUGUCACUUGGGAGAAAGGGUUCCGUGGUGAAAUAAUUUGGGGAAAUACUGCUUUGAACAAAAUUAAUCCUAUGUCUUUACUGCAGGACUUCUUGGGGCCUUUUAUUUGCUAACACAGUGAGUCCCCAAGAGGGCGAUAGAUACAGUAUGCCCCGUUUCACAAAUCGACUUGACCAUGGCGUACUGUUUCUAAAAACAAACGUUUGAAAUACCUUUUGCUCUUGAUCUUCUUCACUUCUUGACCGUAUUCACUCGAGUCUUCAGGUAAAUAAAAUCUGGAGGUACAAGUCAGUAGAACACAAUAUUUUAAAACAGCUUAUCAGUUCAUUACCUUAAAAAGGUGAUUUGUGAGCUUUUUCCUAGAUUCCUGUGCAGUAGCUGCAGAUGCGAAUUAGUCCCUACUAUUUCUAGCUUAGAGUUCAUGGUAGUGUAAGAGAUAUAAAGGGCCUAACAGUGGACACUGCAAGCAAACUACAGAGAGUGGCAGUCAACCUGAAGAAAGGACGAAGGCCAGGGGCAAAUGCAUCUA